GGUGUAAGGUGAACAUCGCUGCCCGGAAAGCAGAAGAUGCGGGUUCGAGUCCCGC
rnacentral:tRNA from 1 species